CGCUAACAUGGGCAAGAAGUAACGUACUAUUAUAACAUAACAAGUAAGGACGGACAAGAAGUAACGUACUAUUAUAACAUAACAAGUAAGGACGUAUUUCUUUGGGUUCAGCUACAACAAAUACUUUCUCGGAAACUUUCCUUUUGCAGCUGUAGACUCAAUUCCCAUCUUUUACUGGUUUCGUUCCUGCCCUCUUCUUGCCUCAUUUGAAUACUUUCAAGCUCGGUUCCGUUCCUUAUGUGGGAACUUUUCUUAUCUCCAAUUCUUCCCCUUACACGAAAUAUGCUUUAAGCUCUUCCCUUAACCAUCUUCUGUUUCUGACUCUUCAUCUUGCUUGCUCUCUUCUGGGAUCCCCUUUCUUUCAUUGAGGUUUCCUAUCUUUGUUGUCUUAGGUUAGUUAUCUCUGCUCGAAAGGAGGUUACUGCCCGAGCCGAGUGAUACAGUUCCUUCUUCUGUGUAGG
rnacentral:lncRNA from 1 species